UACAGAGGUCUCAAGCGUUGUUCGGAUUCAUUGGGCGUAAAGGGCGCGUAGGCGGCGGGGUAAGUCGGGUGUGAAAUCUCAGAGCUCAACUCUGAAACUGCACUCGAUACUGCUUUGCUAGAGGACUGGAGAGGAGAUUGGAAUUCACGGUGUAGCAGUGAAAUGCGUAGAGAUCGUGAGGAAGACCAGUGGCGAAGGCGCACAUCUGGCCCGAUACUGACGCUGAGGCGCGAAAGCUAGGGGAGCAAACGGG
rnacentral:rRNA from 1 species